rnacentral:rRNA from 1 species
CAGUCGCCACGGUAAUACGUAGGUGGCAAGCGUUGUCCGGAAUUAUUGGGCGUAAAGGGAGCGUAGACGGUUAAACAAGUCUGAAGUGAAAUGCCGGGGCUCAACCCCGGAGCUGCUUUGGGAACUGUAGAACUGGAGUGUCGGAGGGGUAAGCGGAAUUCCCAGUGUAGCGGUGAAAUGCGUAGAUAUUGGGAGGAACACCGGCGGCGAAGGCGGCUUACUGGACGACAACUGACAUUGAGGCUCGAAGGCGUGGGUAGCAAACAGGAUUAGAUACCCCUGUAGUCCCUGUCUCUUAUAC